AGCCAGCAGCAGCAGCAGGGGGAGAAGAAGCCAAAAGCUGAAAAGAAGGAGAAAAGAGAUCUUGGAGUGAUCACCUACGACAUCCCAACCAGGCCCGGGGAGAAAAAAGAUGUCGCCAGCCCAAUGCCUGACUCCUACAGCCCACAAUACGUUGAGGCCGCCUGGUACCAGUGGUGGGAGAACCAGG